GGCUCCAUAGUAGUGGUUAGCACGUCUGCUUUACACACAGAAGGUCCUGGGUUCGUACUCCAGGUGGAGCCG
rnacentral:tRNA from 1 species